GACGAACGCUGGCGGCGUGCUUAACACAUGCAAGUCGAACGGAAAGGCCCUGCUUUUGUGGGGUGCUCGAGUGGCGAACGGGUGAGUAACACGUGAGUAACCUGCCCUUGACUUUGGGAUAACUUCAGGAAACUGGGGCUAAUACCGGAUAGGAGCUCCUGCUGCAUGGUGGGGGUUGGAAAGUUUCGGCGGUUGGGGAUGGACUCGCGGCUUAUCAGCUUGUUGGUGGGGUAGUGGCUUACCAAGGCUUUGACGGGUAGCCGGCCUGAGAGGGUGACCGGCCACAUUGGGACUGAGAUACGGCCAAGACUCCUACGGGAGGCAGCAGUGGGGAAUAUUGCACAAUGGGCGGAAGCCUGAUGCAGCAACGCCGCGUGCGGGAUGACGGCCUUCGGGUUGUAACCCGCUUUCGCCUGUGACGAAGCGUGAGUGACGGUAAUGGGUAAAGAAGCACCGGCUAACUACGUG
rnacentral:rRNA from 1 species